rnacentral:rRNA from 1 species
GAAAGUAAACAAGGGCGCAUGGAGGAUGCCUAGGCUCUCGGAGGCGAAGAAGGACGUGAUAAGCUGCGAAAAGUUACGGUAAGGCGCAAAUAGCCCUAGACCCGUAAAUAUCCGAAUGGGGCAACCCGGCCAGCAAUGGUCAUACCGCCAAGCGGUAAGCCAACGCGGGGAACUGAAACAUCUAAGUACCCGCAGGAAAAGAAAAUAACAAUGAUUCCGCCAGUAGUGGCGAGCGAACGCGGAACAGCCCAAACCACUCGUGUUACGGCACGAGUGGGGUAGAAGGAUCCACGAUACGGCAAGAAAUAAGUUAGCAGAAUACGAUGGAAAUCGUAGCCAAAGACGGUGACAGCCCAGUACGCGAAAACCGACAGAAGCCCAGUGGACACCUGAGUAACCCAGGACACGAGAAAUCCGGGGCGAAUCAGCGGGGCCCAUCCCGUAAGGCUAAAUACUCCCGAGAGACCGAUAGCGAACCAGUACUGUGAAGGAAAGGUGAAAAGCACCUCGAACAGAGGAGUGAAAUAGUCCCUGAAACCGUCUGCCUACAAGCGGUCGGAGCAACGUAAGUUGUGACGGCGUGCCUUUUGCAUAAUGAACCUACGAGUUACUUUCUCCGGCAAGGUUAAGGGCUUCAGGCCCGGAGCCGAAGCGAAAGCGAGUCUUAAUAGGGCGUGAUAGUCGGAGUGAGUAGACGCGAAACCAAGUGAUCUACCCUUGGUCAGGAUGAAGGUUGGGUAACACCAACUGGAGGUCCGAAUGGGUAUACGUUGAAAAGUGUUCCAAUGAACUGAGGGUAGGGGUGAAAGGCUAAUCAAACUUGGAGAUAGCUCGUACUCCCCGAAAUGCAUUUAGGUGCAGCCUUUAUUUAGUAUAGCAUGAGGUAGAGCGACUGAUUGGAUGCGAGGGCUUCACCGCCUAUCAAGUCCAGAUAAACUCCGAAUGCGUGCUAUAUAUUGAUAAGGAGUGAGGGCGCGGGUGCUAAGGUCCGCGUCCGAGAGGAGAAGAAUCCAGACCAUCAGCUAAGGUCCCCAAAUAACAGUUAAGUUGAACUAACGAAGUCGGACUGCAGAGACAGCUAGGAUGUUGGCUUGGAAGCAGCCAUUCAUUUAAAGAGUGCGUAACAGCUCACUAGUCGAGGAGUCCGGCGUGGAUAAUACUCGGGCAUAAACUGUUUACCGAAGCUAUGGAUGUAGAAAUACAUGGUAGGGGAGCAUUCCAACGGCGUCGAAGGUGAAGGAUGACCUUUGCUGGAGCUUUUGGAAACGCAAAUGUAGGUAUAAGUAACGAUAAAGGAGGUGAGAAACCUCCUCGCCGAAAGACUAAGGUUUCCUGAUCAACGUUAAUCGGAUCAGGGUAAGUCGGGACCUAAGGUUAAGCCGAACGGCGAUACCGAUGGAAGAAUGGUUUAAUAUUCCCAUACUACUUUAUGGAGCGAUGUGGAGACGGAGAAGUGAAAGUCCUGCCAUCUGACGGAAUAGGUGGUUGAAGAGUGUAGAUGUAGAUUCCUGUAGGCAAAUCCGCAGGGAGAGUCGACCUUGACAGUAUGCCGCGUGCUUGCACAAGGCAAAAUGGACGUAAUCAGGCUCCCAAGAAAAUCCGCUAAGCAUAUUCAUAAAGUACCCGUACCGUAAACGGACACACGUAGUUGGGUUGAAAAUACUGAGGCGCUCGAGUGAUUCACGGUUAAGGAACUAGGCAAAUUGACCCUGUAACUUCGGGAUAAAGGGUCCCUACUGAGAGGUAGGGCGCAGAGAAUAGGUCCAGGCAACUGUUUAACAAAAACACAUGGCUGUGCGAAAUAGAAAUAUGAAGUAUACAGCCUGACACCUGCCCGGUGCUGGAAGGUUAAGAGGAGAGCUCAUCGCAAGAGAAGGCUUGAAUUGAAGCCCCAGUAAACGGCGGCCGUAACUAUAACGGUCCUAAGGUAGCGAAAUUCCUUGUCGGGUAAGUUC